rnacentral:lncRNA from 1 species
AUUCUUCAAGGUUACGUGUGUUGAGAAUGUUCGCUACUGGCUAUGAUCGUUUUCAUGAAGCAUCAGAAGACAGCGUUUUAUUUGGUGGGGGUGAAGUUUUGAUACAGGAAUUGCUCGGUUUGAAAUAUUUAGAGGUAUUGGAGUUGACCUUGGGAAGUUAUCAUGCUCUCCAAAUUCUUUUGAGCUCAAAUAAGUUAAAAAGUUGUAUUCGAUCUCUUUACCUCCAGUUGACCGGAGAUACAGCGUCAAUUAUUGAUGCUACGGCUUUCGCAGAUCUAAACUACCUCAAUGAAUUAUGUAUUGAUAAUGGUAUUGAGUUGGAAGAGUUGAAGAUUGAUUAUACGGAGAUAGUAAGAAAAAGGCGGGAACCUUUUGUUUUCCGCAGCCUUCACUGUGUUACUAUGAUUUCGUGCCGUAAAUUGAAAGAUUUGACAUUCCUCGUUUUUGCUUCAAACCUCAAGUCUCUUCGGCUACGCAAUUGCUAUGCUAUGGAAGAAAUAAUCAGCGUCGGAAAAUUUGCUGAGACUCCUGAGAUGAUGGGACAUAUAAGCCCUUUUGAAAAUCUCCAAAUGCUUGAUUUACAAGGUUUGCCACAUUUGAAGAGCAUCUUCUGGAAGCCAUUGCCUUUCACUCAUCUGAAAGAAAUGGAGGUACUUAGGUGCGAUCAGCUUGAAAAGCUUCCACUCGAUUCCAACAGGGCAAAGGAGCGUAAAUUUGUUAUUCGUGGAGAAGAAGACUGGUGGAACCGACUUCAAUGGGAGGAUGAAGCCACUCAAAUUGCUUUUCGUUCCUGUUUUAAAAGUGAUGCUUUAUUUAUAUCUUAUUCGUGAAAAGUGAUUUAAUUUCCUGCCAAAAGACGAACGAGAAGAACAAUAGAGUCAAACUAAUGCUCACAUAAAUUUCCCGUAAGAAUAUAUAAUUAGACUGGAAUGCACACCUCUAGAUUGAACAGAAUUAAAGCUGAGAAAAUAUUGAGUAUAGUAGCCCUCUUUACAGAAAAUGACGCGAAAGUUAAUUUAGAAAGAUAUAUUCUUGAUUAAUCCAUUUUCUGAAGUUUUUAUUUUGUAUGGUCAAUUAUACCUUCAUACUAAAAAUUCCUGAAGUUAUAAAUUAGUGCAACUUGACAAUUUUUACUGAUAAUAUCUUCUAUUUUUCCUUUUUUUUUUUUCACUUUCAUAGAAUGGCAGCGGAUCCUGCGGCACCAAUUUGAGAGAAUAUACUGACACUACUUCGAACAGCAAGCAGAAGAAGUAAUAUGUCUACGGCAAAGGCAAUGCAGUCCUCAUUUUGGCUUGAGAUGCAGUAAUCAUCGAAGAGAGUUUCCUUGUGAAACUGGGCAACACAUUGAAUCCCUUCGCCACUGAGAAGGUUGUGGAGGAAGUAAGCUUUCUCUCCAGUGAGGAAGAGGUGGCAUACCUUCCCCAUUUUGUCGAGGGCAGGUAGGAAUCUUUUUUCUAAGAGAUUUACUUCGUUCUCUGUAAGAAAUGCUUUGAACUUCAUCCCUCUGUCUCUAUCCUCACUUAUCAGGAAAUAAGUUGAAAGCACUAUGAAGAGAGAGAGAGAGAGAGAGAGAGAGAGAAUUAAGAUAUAUAGACAAGAAAAAUAUUAGACGUUGAUCUUACAAACUAAUACUUCAAGCAGUAUCCUAGAAAGCUAAAAACUGCAAGAUGGCUUGAAAUUUGAAAAGAGCACGUGCUUUUCCUCCUUAACUUGAGAAAAUGUUUAAUAUAGUGCACCUUACAGAAGCAUUUAAGCAAUUAGAACUUUGCACAAAAACAUCAAGAAGACUAAACAAAUCAGAUGCAGUGUAUUUGUCCAAGCACAAAUUGCAUUUUGUCCUCAACUUUAAUAUUUAUUGAUGAGAAUCAAUACAGGUCCCUCAUUUGUUAUAGAAAGCUUUCUUUCUUGUAGUCUCACCAGUUAAUUCACAGGUCUAUAAUCAUCUUGCAAAGUUAAGGGCAUUUCUUUCGAUCUAAAGUCUUUGGAUCACCACCUCAUCACACACCAAGCCAAUAUUCCAUUUACCUCUACAACAAAAAGUUUUAAGUAAACAAUCCUAAUGCACGCAGCCAAAUAAAAUGCAGUAAGAAUAUUCAACUUAAAAAUCUGAAAGCCAACUUGGUGAAUUGCCUCCUUAGGUGAAGUUCCAUGCUUUACUAUAGUUGACAGAACUCAGCAAAAGCUUCCAUACAACAGAUUUUGAAAAUGAUGAUGCCAAUAGAUACUCAUUCAAUCCAUUGAAAAUCCAAAGGUUCAUUGUUAAUAGAAGUUUACAGAGUUUUGGUCAUCAAAUAGCUCAGACCUAAUCCCAAACAAAAAACGAGUGAAAAUUAGAUCACGAGCAGCUAAUUGUAAAUUCUAACUUAACUCUUCAUCUCCUUUGUAAACAAGAAACAAAAUGGAGACACGCAAAAUGAAUAUGGAGAAAAUUUGAACUCAAAUGAAAUGAGGGCACGAAAGCAAACAAAUGGCAUGCACAAAAAAACCAAGCCUCAAUCAAAAACUAAUUAACCAUUAAGAAAAAAAUUGGUCAGAGAAUGAACUCCAAUUCAGGAGUCAAGCAAGAAGCUUUCAUUAUUUCAGAAGCUCCUGUACAAAUUAAUAAGUUAUGCUCUUUGGAAGCAAACCUAAAUUCCAAGAGAAACAGAACCCAAAAAAAUUUGUAAUUAUACGCAAAGGAAGUGAAGCACAGGAUUCUAUCACACAUAGGAAUUGUAUAACAAGAGAUCGAUAUAUCGAAUUAGAAAACUCAAUUCGAAUUUGUGUCAAAAAUCAAAAAUUUGCAAUUAUAGCGUUCUAUUUAGUGGUAAUGAAUUCUUGGUUUGGGAGUUGCUUAGUUUAAAACGUUUAAAUGUAUUAAGCAUCAUCUUGAAAAGUUUUUCUGCCGUCCAAAAACUUAUGAGCUUCCAAAAGUUGCAAAGCUGUACACAAUGCUUGGAGCUUGUAGACUGUGAUGAUCCAAAGUCAUUUGCCUUGGCAGAGUUGAAGCAUCUUGAAAAACUAGGUUUUUCGAGUUGUGGAAUAUUCAUGUAAGUGAAGUAACCGUCACAAUACUAGUGAAAUUGGGAGCUUUAUUCAUGAGUUUGUGGUUUUGAAAAGUACCACAGUUCAACUGGUGAAGGCUCCGUUUUGGGAUUCUUCUUUUUCCAGGCUGCAAUUAGGAUAUGUACAUGAUAGACAAUCUUUUGUUGGUUUAGCAUAUCUUCGCUGAUUUUGUCUUUUAUUCCCCAAUUUUAUAAUUACACACCAUGAAUGUUGGGUGAUUGUAUAGAAAAUUUGUGUUAUAACAAAAACAUUGUGAAGGAGUUUCUGUGCUAAUUGUUAGUGGCUUCUGUUUUAUUGGCAUUGAUUGGGUAGAUUACGUGUUACAGUGAUUCAAUUUGUGUUCCAAACUUUGCUUUAAUUUUCUGUUUUCCCCAACUAUUUAUGUCAAAUUUAAAUCCAGAAGCAUGUACUGAUUUUUUCUUUUUGUAUUAAUCUGUGAAGUUUAUUUGGAAUGGAAGUAACUGGGUCGGGUCUAAUGGAUUAAAUUAUGACAUUGAGGGGAAGGCACUAAAAGGGUUUGCUUGACACAUUUGGUUCUGUGUUUACUCUGCAAGAAAUAACUUUUGCUUAUUGCAAUGCAGGGGGAAAUCCCGAUUUGGCUGGUGAAUUUCUCUGCAACAAACAGGCAAACACCUCAACAUCUUCUGUCCAUACUUCUGCUGGGGAGGCAAGGGGUAAAGAGUCUUCAAAAUCAUCAAAUAGUUACAUCUCUGAGAAUUCAUUUUAUGGAAAUGGAAAAUCUAGAGCUUCUAAUACAAAAUGGCAUCUGGUAUCAGGACGUACCGUUUCAAGUUUUCUUGGUAAAGAUUAUGUUAAACCUGCACAGCCAGCUAAUGGCACUUUUCUGGCAUCAAAGCCAUUGAAGUUGGAUCCAAGGGAGUUUCGCAUUUCUGCACUUUCAGAGAAGAAACUAAACCGAAACAAUCAAAGGAUGACCAUUUGCAGAAGGAUAUGGAAGAUUUUCUGUUUAAAUUGCUAGGAGAAGGGUUCCAGCUGUACAGGGAUGUGAUUCAGGAGGUUCAUGGUAACGUCUUAAAUAUAUUGAUGCCAAUUUAAUACAUAUUGUCCUUUUCAAUGUUCUUUCUUUCUUUCUCCUCUUUUUAUUCUUCUUCUUCUUCUUUUUUCUUUUCGUGUGCAUGUGAUCACUAAUUUGGUAUUAUUCUUAACUUGCAGAUAGUUGUGGAUAUGAUAUGCAAAAAGGUAAGGACUAUAUCUUCUUGAUGAAGGCCUCUGAUUUUUUCCCUUCUAUGUAAUUUAGUAAAUCGCAUUUUCCUUUGUGAUUUUUUUUUUUUUUAAUACUGAUUAAUCAUCAUAUUACUGCAUUACACAGAUAUAUCAUACCAAAGCAAAUCGUAAUAUUCCACAAGAAAAAGCAAGAUCUUAAUGUUCCACAAAAGCGUUAUUUUUUUUUUUUGGUGACCCACGUGGAGCUCAAUUAUCAUUGUCUUUACUUUAAAAACGUUAUUUUAUUUUAUUUUAUUUUAUUACAAAUUAAUGCCAACAAGAAAAAGCAAGAUAUAAUAUUCCACAAAAGCAAAUCGUAAUAUUCCACAGAGGAAUAAGAUCCACAAAAGCAAACAACCAGCUGGAUUCUUUUAUUGAACUACAAAUUAAAGUGGAAUCUUUUAUUAAACAACAAAUUAAAGUUCAAAUAUUUAAAUAGUAGUGCGUUAGACGAUUAGGCUCUUUUAUUAAAGGCAAGUAUAAAGUAGUCCAGAAUCGAACAUCUCUAUUGUCUAGUCUUUUUUUUUUUUUUUAUUCUUCUUUUAUUAUUUUUGAGAAUAGGUUUUGGUGAUUACUAUUGGGUUAUUAUUCAGAGUUAUUGUUAUCUUCCGGGGCAGUUUCUGUUCAUCGAAAUCGUUAAUUAAAAUUUUAAAACUCUUAUCGGAAGAAUGUUUUUCCGUUAUUUUUUUAUAUUCUAAUUUCAAUUGUAAGAAGUAGUCAUUUUAGAAUUUGGGUCUUGAAUCGAAUUUCAAUGCAUGAAUUAAUAUUUUAAAAAAAAAUUACUACACGCAGUUUAGGUUACAAACUAUUUUUAAUUUGCAAAGUUGACUAUGAAAUUGGAGAAAUUAAGUAAUUUAUAAUGUUUGCAAAGGAAGAGACUAACAUACUUCCAAUUACACUAUAUCUCUAUUAUCAUAAUGUUAAGACUAAACUAACUUAAAAUAAAUUUUAUUUAAAAAGUUAUAUCAAACGCAGUCUAAUUUUAUUAACUUGAAGAGAUAAUAGUUAUAAAAAUUAUUGUUCUAACUUAAUUAGUACAAGUGGUAUAAAGGUUAAGUGUGCACUAAAUCUGUUUAAAUUUUUUUCAGUAUAACUAACAGAGGUCAUUACUAGAAUUAUAUUACUAGUCUAUUAGAUAGAAAAAAUUAUUUAUAUUAUUUUAUAUUUAUUAAAAAAUUUUAAAGUCAAUCUUUUUAAUUACUAUUUAAAGGAUAUUAUAAUUAAAAAAAAUUUAAUAUAUUUAUUAAAAAUUUAAAAAUUUACAUGACCGUUCUAUAAAUAUUUAAAGUGUAACUGUCAUUUUCUCAUAUAUAUAUAUAUAUAUAGAAACCACGGUGGUGAAGCUUUAUUUAAUAUUAAUGAUUUAAAUAAUAAUAUCUCAAUUAAAAAUGUAGAGAGAAGAAAUUUCGGUGGGUAUAUUAAUCUUUUACAAUUAUCAUGAUUAGCCCUUCCUCUUGUAACGUUGGUCAGAAAAGUUUUAAAAAUUAUUCCUUUUACUUUUAACGUUAGCGGCCUUCCUUAUAUUUUAUUACAAAUUCGUCCACAAAAGCAAAAGUGACAAAACAACCAACUGGAUUCUUUUAUUAAACUACAAUUUCAAAAGAUUUUAAAGUGAAUUCUUUUGAAUACAGGUGGGGUAGUCGAAUAGUCUUUUUCAAAUUCUUGUUUUAUUAUUUUUCAAAACUAGUUUUUGGUAAUUACAAUCGGGUCAUUCAUUAGUCAUUAUUCAGAGUUAUUGUUAUCUUCGGGGGCAGUGGGUAAAAGGCUAAAUGAUAAUUACUAACUGUUUUUCCUUCAAAAGUUAGUGGCUCGUGUUUUGCAAGUGUGAACGUGCGAUUCUCUUUGUCUAAAGGCAAUUACAGUGGGUCCCGAAUCGGACGUGCCUAAUAAAUCUUUUUAAAAUUUUCUAAUAAAUAUUCCUAAAAUUUCUCUUCCACAGGCAAUUACAGCAGCUUCAGUUAAUCAAACUCAAUCAAUUUUCUUUCUUAACAAAAUUCCAAAGAUGUUUGGCUGUUUUCAGAUCACAUGCGAUGGUGCUCUUUUCAAUCGUUGCUUGGAUUGCUUUCUUGGAAAAGCAGCAUACAUACGUAACCUCCAAGAUAAUCUUGAUGCCUUGGAGACUGAAUUGGGAAAUCUAAUCGCAGCAGAGAACGAUGUGAUGACGAGGGUUGUCAAUGCUGAACGGCAACAAAUGAUAAGGCUGGAAAGAGUGCAACGGUGGAUUUCGAGGGUGGAUGCUGUUAAAACUGGAGCCGAUGAACUUAUCACAGACGACUCUGAAGAAAUUGGCAAAUUAUGUGUUGGAGGCUACUGUUCCAAGAACUGCAGGUCAAGCUACAAAUUCGGAAAACAAGUGGCUAAAAAGCUACAAGAUGUGAAGACUUUAAUCGCCGAGGGAGUUUUUGAGGCGGUGGCCACUGAGGUGGUGCCCGAGAGAGCUCCGGAACCUGUAGCAGAUAAAAGACCCAUUGAGCCAACAAUAGUAGGCUUGCAAUCACAGCUUGAACAAGUUUGGAGAUGUCUUGUAGAAGAAUCAGUGGGAAUCAUUGGCCUAUAUGGUAUGGGCGGUGUUGGUAAAACCACACUAUUGACCCGUAUCAACAAUAAAUUUCUUGAGAGUCAAAACAACUUUGAUUGUGUGAUUUGGGUCGUAGUUUCAAAAGACCUGCGACUUGAAAAAAUUCAAGAAGAUAUUGGGAAGAAGAUAGGUCUAUCUGAUGAUUCAUGGAAGAAUAAAAGUUUUGAAGAGAAAGCUGUGGACAUCCUGCGGAGAUUAGGAGAGAAGAGAUUUGUAUUGUUGUUAGAUGAUUUAUGGGAGCGGGUUGAUUUAACAAAAGUGGGCGUUCCACUUCCCAGCGCACAAAAUACUACCUCAAAAGUCGUAUUCACAACCCGUUCCAUUGGUGUUUGUGGCAGCAUGAGAGCUAGGCCGGUUAAAGUGGCAUGCCUAUCAGAAAAGCAAGCUUGGGAACUGUUCCGCGAAAAUGUUGGGGAAGAAACUCUUGAGAGUGAUCAUGAGAUCGUUGAGCUAGCUCAAACUGUAGCCAAAGAGUGUGGUGGUUUGCCACUCGCACUUAUUACUAUUGGUCGAGCUAUGGCCAACAGAAAUACAGCUGAGGAGUGGAGACAUGCAAUUGAAGUGUUAAAAAGGUCGGCUUCGGAGUUUGAUAGUUUGCAGAAUGAGACGAUUAGAUCUUGUUUCUUGUAUUGUUGUUUAUAUCCUGAAGAUUAUGGCAUUCCUAAAUGGGACUUGAUUGAUUGUUGGAUUGGUGAGGGAUUUUUGGGGGAAUCUGACAGGAUUGGUGCAGAAAACCGAGGAUAUGACAUUGUGGGCACUCUUGUUCGUGCAUGUUUAUUAGAAGCGGUGGAAGAUGGUGAAGUAAAAAUGCAUGACGUUAUUCGUGAUAUGGCUAUAUGGAUAACUUGUGAAAUUGAGAAGGAGAAGAGAAACUUUUUGGUUCGUGCAGGUGCUGGAUUAAAAGAGGCACCGGGUGUUAAAGGAUGGGAAAAUGUGAGUUAAAGAAGUUGGUAAAUCUGAAAUGUUUGAAUUUGAGGUGGACAGGUGCGUUAAUUAGAAUUCCACGGGGACUAAUAUCAAAAUUUUCAAGGUUACGUGUGUUGAGAAUGUUGGGUACUGGCGGGUUCAUUUUUUAUGAAGCACCAGAAGACAGCGUUUUAUUUGGUGGGGGUGAAGUUUUGAUACAGGAAUUGCUCGGUUUGAAAUAUUUAGAGGUAUUGGAGUUGACCUUGGGAAGUUAUCAUGCUCUCCAAAUUCUUUUGAGCUCAAAUAAGUUAAAAAGUUGUAUUCGAUCUCUUUGCCUCGAGUUCGCCGGAGAUACAGCGUCAAUUAUUGAUGCUACGGCUUUCGCAGAUCUAAACUACCUCAAUGAAUUAAAUAUUUAUAGUGGUUUUGAGUUGGAAGAGUUGAAGAUUGAUUAUACAGAGAUAGUACGAAAAAGGCGGGAACCUUUUGUUUUCCGCAACCUUCACCGUGUUACUAUGGUUUUGUGCCACAAAUUGAAAGAUGU